CAGGGCUUGAACCCAGGUCUUCCUGACAUGAAGGCAGAUCCUUAACACCCUUCCUCAGAGACCCACAUACAUGCAGCACAAAUAUCAUGAUAUGGAAAGUUUCAAAUGGUGCCAGAGUCUGGAAGUAUUCAUAGAAAAGCUUCCAAGUAACUGAAGAUAUUAAUACCACAAAAUACACUUUAAGUCUCAAGAGACAUUGGAAAGAAUCAUUAACUUCAAGUAUUAGCUGCAUUUGUUUUAAUGGAAAUUCACUAGCUAUGGAAUGAAACAAUCACUUGCAGGUUUGAAAAACUGUAAAUCAUAAGUUACAAAAGCUAAACCAUUAGAAGCAUUUAUUGAAGUUUAAAACUGUGUUAAGAUUUUGGGACAACUUGUAUAAUAUACCUGGCAGAAAUAAAUUUCAAAUUUAUUCUACUAUAAGCUGUGUUUGCCAAUAUCAAGGAGAUACUUGGCUUGAACGUUAUGGAUAAAUAUAUAUAAAUGUAUAUAAGUGUACAAAUAUCAAGAACUUCAAGGAAAACAUAGGCUACCCAAAAAUUCAAUCAUCAUUUAGUUGCUGAUUUUUUCUCUUCACCGAAUAGGCUAGAUUUUCAGAUAGGCUUAUAGUGAUUGCACAGGAUGAAUUGGCAUGUGGAAGAACUUCAGCCAAGCAAACCAUUCAUGAGAUUGUUGCAGUAUUUAAAGGUUGUUGCAAUGAGGUUAAGAUGGAGAUAGAGGAAGGAGUUAAUUUGAGAAAAACUAUUAAUAAUAGCUCACAUUUAUAAAAUGCUUAAUUGUUUAGAGAGUAUAUCCUUAACAAAUAUUCUUUUUCUUCAGAUGCCCAUGACCUGGAAGACUGAGGGACCAUCCUUAAUGAUAUUUAGAAAUCAACAUCAGAUCUUGAAGUUUUAUAUAAAUAUGUAAUUUUGCCGUUAGGAAGAGGAAGAAUCGAUUACAAUCAUCCAGGGAGCUGCUGACUGAUUAACAUGUUCUACGAUCUGUGUAAUCAAUUGUUUAUCAUGAAAUGAAUCAACAGCUGCAGAACCCAGUUGGAAAUAACCCAGGAGCAAAGGAAAACAAGUUGUUUUUU
rnacentral:lncRNA from 1 species